AUUGAACGCUGGCGGCAGGCCUAACACAUGCAAGUCGAGCGGUUGAGGUAGCUUGCUACCGAUGCAGCGGCGAACGGGUGAGUAAUACAUGGGAAUCUGCCUGGUAGUGGGGGACAACGUCUCGAAAGGGACGCUAAUACCGCAUACGCCCUACGGGGGAAAGGGGGGGAUCUUCGGACCUCUCGCUAUCAGAUGAGCCCAUGUCAGAUUAGCUAGUUGGUAGGGUAAAGGCCUACCAAGGCGACGAUCUGUAACUGGUCUGAGAGGAUGAUCAGUAAAACUGGAACUGAGACACGGUCCAGACUCCUACGGGAGGCAGCAGUGGGGAAUAUUGGACAAGGGGCGCAAGCCUGAUCCAGCCAUGCCGCGUGUGUGAAGAAGGCCUUAGGGUUGUAAAGCACUUUCAGUGGGGAGAAAGGUAAUUCACUUAAUACGUGAGUUAAUUGAUGUUACCCACAGAAGAAGCACCGGCUAACUCCGUGCCGGCCGCCGCCGUAAAAC
rnacentral:rRNA from 1 species